rnacentral:lncRNA from 1 species
UUAGAUGAAAGGUUGUCUUGAUGUAGUAUACAUUCUAUAGGACAUACCUUUUAGGCUGAAGCUCUUUUCAGUUCCCAUCAACUGGAAUGUUUCCUAACACGUAUGUGGAUCAAAAUAACUGAGGUAUUUUAGUGAACUGCUGGACUAUUACCAUCUUUGCACAUCUCUCCAGUACUUUUCUUUCAUGUAAUAUCCUACUAAAAUUAUUUACAUAUCCAAAAUUUUAAGAUUGCCACUUUUAUCGAAAUAUUAAACAUGUUUUUCAUAAGUAAAUAUUUUACUUUCUCAACUCUUGACUAACGUGGAUUCUGUCAUUCAGAUUUAGGGAUAUACUGAAUGUUAAGCAUGUGAAGACCAGUGCAAGGUUUUACUUGUGCCCAGGAUCGCAGGCCUUCAUACGGUCUGAUGUCAACAUGACUGAGGUUACUAAAAAAAAAAUCAUUUCAGAUGCUGAAUGGCCAGGUUAUCUACAUCUCCACGUAAUCUGGAUUGGAUAUGUCUGGAAUAGUGAAAGUAAGCUUGUUUUGUUAAAUUUAAGUUACUUUAAAUAUUUCUCCAGUGUUUAAAACAAAAAUGGCAACUUUGCUUUAAC